UUUUGUUUGGAGAGUUUGAUUCUGGCUCAGGACGAACGCUGGCGGCGUGCUUAACACAUGCAAGUCGAACGGAAAGGCCCUUCGGGGUACUCGAGUGGCGAACGGGUGAGUAACACGUGGGUGAUCUGCCCUGCACUUUGGGAUAAGCCUGGGAAACUGGGUCUAAUACCGAAUACACCCUUCUGGCUGCAUGGUCUGGG
rnacentral:rRNA from 1 species